CAGUGUUCUCCCGCCACUAAGCGCUUCCGGAACAGCUCCGGCGCAGGAGAUGAGCUAGGGCUACUUCUCUGUGUCCGCGGGGCUGUUACCCACUAGGAGUGUGAACUUGGCAAGUCCCACAUCGCCAAAACUGUCCGGGGUGGUGGUGGUGAUGGUGAUUGGCGAACGGAAGUCCACCCUGCUCGGAGCCGCGCGGCUCAGGUCCCAGGCCCGACAUUGCUUCUUACUACCGGCGACCUGCCUGACCUCUAGGCCUCAGCAGGAAUCCCUGCAGAUCAGAAAAUUCCACAUUCGCUCGCCGCACACAGUCAAGUUCCAUCCUUAAGGGACCUGCAGCCCUGUUCCCAGAAGAACAAUCUCUCCUUCCUACUCCUCAGCUCUGUGCCUUUAAACUCAUGCAAAUGACAAGCCCAAGAGGCAUUUCUUAGUCCACAGAUACCUAUUAGCCAUCUAGUAAAUGUCAGGUACUGUUCUGUGCUGUGGGAAAAUGUUUGGUAAUAAAGGUUCUACCUUCCUCCAAUUUAUAUUUUAGGCAGCAACUUCUGGCAAGCAAGAAAACAAAUAGCCUGCAAGGUAAUUGGUGCUGUAAUUAAAAAAUGUUGAAGGGAUAGACUAAAUUAAUGUGAUCAAGAUACGAUCAAGAUAAUAAGCCAUCCCCCCUUCAAACUUUGUUUUAGGGAAUUUGGCUAAAGUGAAAUAAAAUAUGUUUCUGUUUCCCUGAGUCUCAAAGAAAUGCAGCCAAAUGCACCCAAUUCUAACUACCAUGCCUAGCUAGGAAUUAGUUUUUGACUAGCUUUUUUUUUUUUUUUUUAAUCGAACUCACAACCACACAUUUGCAAGGCAGGUUCUUAUGCCACUGAGCUAAAUCCCCAGCCCAGGAAUUAGUUUUUGAAAGAGCAAAAUUUGGCAAAGUCCUUUUCUUUUUUAGUCAAAUAAUAUUGCAUACUAAUCAAAUAUUACCUAAGCUGGUUUUUUUUUUUUUUUUUGUCUUUUUGACAGGGGUCUUGCUAUGCAAUUCAGGCCAGUCUUGAGCUGACUUUGUAGCCCAGCCUGGUCUUGAGUUUGCAAUGAUCCUCCUGCCUCAGCCUCUCAAGUCCUGGGAUUACAGGCAUGUGCCACUACACCGGCUUUAAACUGUUUUCUUAGCUUUGAUGUAAAGAAGAUUCUUGUCUUGACUAUUGGACUUGUCAAAGUUCUAAAAUUUUUUCAAACCUCCCUCAUCUCAGGACAGACAAGCAAAACCACAAGGACAGUGAGCACAACUGCUUUUCUCUCUUGAAGUAACCUUCAUUACCAUUAGACCCCAAAAUUAGUAAGAGUUAGAUGGACAUGGUGGUGCAUGCCUGUAAUUCCAGGGCUCAAGAGUCAGGCAAGAUGAAUGCCUUGAGUUCUCUGCCAGCAUGGGCUACAUAAUGAGUUCAAGCCACCCUGAACUACAUAGCAAGACCCUGUUUAAAAAAAAAACAAACCAAAAAACGAUUGAUGACUCAUGUUACAGUGAGAGAUAAGCAUCCUAUGUACCCAACACAGAAACUAAUAGUUCAGCAAGCAUGUGGCACUCUUGAGGCACACAUGAAAUAUAAGGACUGGAGAAUUUAUGUUUUUCUUCUCUCUGCCUGUAAUUUACAAGCAUUUUCUCCUAAGCAUAGAAAACUCAGGCCAAACUCCUAGUUUGUCAAGUCUGGUUGUUCCCAGAGAAAGGAAGCAGUGUCAUAGGGCAACACCCAGGAGAAUCUAGGACCUGCUUUUACAAGGUUUUCCAAGGUCCCUGAAUAGAACAAAGAGAAAGAACCAGGGAUGUGGAAAACGGGGCAGGAGCACUCCAGAGUGCCCGUGAGGGAUGGCAAUAAGCCCAGUGUGCUGGUGAUGAGAAAGGGAGGCAGCGUUUCUGAAACCUGGUGACAGAAGAGGAAGAGAAGAGUGGACUAAGCCUGGAAGACACAGAGCCAGAUGCCAUCAGGUUUUAGCCCGUGAUCCCAGCACUUGCCGGGGCCUGUGCCAGGAAAUCCCAGCAAGUUCAAGGCUACAUAGCGCAACCCCAUCUCAGAAAUAAAUAAAUACAUACAUACAAAGCAAAACAGGUGAUGUGGGGUCUUGUAGCUACCAAGAGAGCCAUAGGCAGAUUGUGUUCCAGAUGACUGGUUGCAACAUGUAGAAUGCGUUUUAUUCAAAAGACGAAAAGAGGAAGACACAGAAUAAUCUACAAGGGACAGCUGGGGGGUUGCAGCGGGGAGGGCCCUCUCAAGAAAGUACAGCAAAGUAGGUAAAGUCAAAAGAGAUUUACAUGAUAAAGGUGUGGGCAUGGGGGCAGGUGAGAAAGAGGUUAAAAUGGCUGUUAGAUCUCGGGUUCCAGGAGCUGAAGUCUCGGGGCAUUCUGCUCAUUAGGCUUCCUGCCCAGGGGAAUACUAGGUAGCAAGAACUGAGCAAUCGCAUUGCCUGACAUGGAACAAUGACAAGCAUGGCCUGUGAUUUUCUGUCACUUUGGAUCGCAGAAGCCUAGAGAGAAGCCACUUCUGAGUUUUAGAGCCACCUUGUGGUCAUAAGAGGUACUGCUGGUGUCUGGACGUGCCUCCCGAAAUGACCAUUCACUUUAGGGUAGGACCCCAUGUCCGAAUAUCUGAACUAGUGAAAAAGCCAAAAUUAUGUAAAAUACAGGAAAUGGUAUAUAUAUAUAUAUAUAUAUAUAUAUAUUUUAAAUUUUUUAUCGGUACCGGAGGUCCAACUCAUGACCACACGCUUGCAAGGCAGGCACUUAUGCCGCUGAGCUAAAUUCCCAGCUCAGGAAAUGGUAUAUUAAGCUCCUGUGAAACCGUAGUAGGUUUUCGAAUAGUUUCUGCUUCAACCAUUACCAACACACAGCCUCGAUUCAGCAAUAGCAUCUCCCAACUCCCACUGGGUUGUUUUGAAGCAAAUUCUAGACAUCAUCAAAAAGCCAAUAUACUUACUUCGCACACGUCAACAAAAUGCUUCUAAAGUUUAUAUGGAUUGCUUUCGUGUGUGUGUGUGUGUGUGUGUGUGUGUGUGUGUGUGUGUGUGAUAGGGUUACUCUACAACUAUACUAAAUACUCAGCCGUUUUUAUUUUUUAAUUUUGAUACAGGCUCUGAACUUGAAAUCCUCCUGUCUCAGCCUCCCAAGUAGUUCCAACUAUAGGCAUGCAUCGCCUGCAUAGCCCAGCCUGCUUUUCAAUUUUAUUUUAUUUUAUUUUUGGAAACAUGGUUUCAUUUUGUAGCUCAAGCUGGCCUUGAACUCGGGGCAAUCCUCCUGCCUCAGCCUCCUGAGUGCUGAGAUUACAGGUAUACGCCACCACACCUGGCUACUUUUUAAUUAAAAUUAUUUUGGAGGUCUGGAUCAUUCAUUGUUUUUAUGUUAACUUAACCAUCAGCAAACAGAAGAGUGAAUAAAACAUAAGCAACUCAUUGAAAGCAAUCAAUUUAUUAGCACAGAUUUUUUUGUUUUGUUUUGUCUCUAAUUGUUUAUUGGUACAUUUUAGGUACACGUUAUGACCACAUCCAUCAUAAGGAAUUUGUACCUAUACAUGAUGUAUCUUGAUUCUCUUUUUCCCCAUCCCUCUACCUCCCUUCAGCCUUUCUUUCCUUCCCUAUUUACAAAAAGCUGUUUCUUUUUUUUUUCUUUUCUCAUUUUUCCUUUCCUCCUCGCUCCUCCCUUCCUAUUUCACAGUAUCUGUUACACAUUUUGGUCCUUAUUUACACUUCUGGCUUCUCAUACCACAGAAACAAUGUGGCGUUUACACAUGGGUGUCUGAUUUAUUUCAUUUAAGAAUAGGGGCUCAAGGUGCCUACAUUUACCUAGAAAUAUCUCAAGAUUAUCUUUCUUUAUGGCAGAGUAGGACUCUAUCUUAUAAAAAUUCAUACCUUCUUUAUCCGUUCAUCAGUUGAUGGGCGUUGGGACUGUUUCCAGGGUUUAGCUAUUACAAACUACAGCUGCACAGAUUUAAGCAUCGCUAGGAAUCUCUCCUAGUGUCGCUGCUUGUCUAUAAAGCUCGUCCUCAAAAUAACAAAGCUGAUCUGAGCUGUUCUUCACUAUUGCUUUUCCUGUAUUACUUUUUAAAAGAGCCAGAAGCCAGGAAUGGCACCUGUAAUGCCAGCACUUGGAGGUUGAGGCAGGAGCAUUGCCACAAGUUUGAGGCCAGCCUGGGCUAUGUAGGGAGGUCAAGGGCAGCCUAAAAUCAGUCGAUUGAUUGAUUGAUCGAUCGAUCCAGAUCAGGAUAGUGACAUGUAUUAAAUCCGAUGUACCUAUGGUGUUGAGAUCAGGUUGUUUCGUUGAGACACAGCAUGGCGGAAGUCUGUCUCUGAAGCUGCCAUCCUGCACAGGCUCAUAAAGGCAGAGACAAUGAAUCCUUUUCUCUCUCUUCUUUCUAACUUCUCUGAAAGAUUUCUUGAUUCUUUCCCUCUAUAAUUAUAGACCUAUUCUUUUACCUGAAUUUUUUUCUUUUUAAAAUUCUGAGUUGCAAGAAAAAAAAAUUCUGGGUUGCUGCUCUUAUAUUAACAAUAUGAUGACCCCAUAAGAGUACCAAAAUAUUCCCCCAGAUUGAAAUCCAAGUUGAUCAAAACAUAAACCAAAAGCUGGAUGCGGUGGCUCACCCAGUAGUUAGGAGGCUGAGGCAGGAGGAUCAUCGCGAGUUCUAGAACAGCCUGGGCUACAAAGUGAGUUCAAGGCCAGCCUGGACUGCAGAGAGACCCUGUCUCAAAAAGACAAAAACAAAACAAAACAAACAAACACCAUAAGCCAGAAUGUGUGACUAUACUGAAUUAUAAAAGACAGCAGGGAGAAAAGUCACCCUAAACCACUACCUGAUAGUUCUCAUCUUGCCUGGGAGAAGGAAGCAGCAAGAGGAAACCACAGAGAUGUCAAAGCUCACAAGGAUUGAAAGUAAGGACAGAAGCCCGGAGUGGCAGAGUACACCUGUAAUCCCAGCACUCAGGAGGCUGAGGCGGGAGGAUCACAGUGCGUUCUAGGUCAUCCUGGGCUCCACAGGAAGUACAAGACCACCCUGGACUGCAUAGUGAGGCUCAAAAAAAAAACAAAACGAGCUGGGUGUGGUGGCAUACACCUGCAAUCUCAGCACUGAAGAGGCCAAGACCUGAAAGACGGUAAAUUUGAGGCCAGUCUGGGCUAUACACGGUGAAACUGUCUCAAAAAAAAAAAAAAAAAAAAAAAAAAAAAAAAAAAACCACAACAACAACAACAAACCGCAAAAGAGAGACUCAUGGGGGUAACUACGGUCAGCAGAUCAAUGUUGUGGGAGAACAAGAUCCUUAGAGUUAUUACCCAGGGUCACUUAAUGCCAGGCCUCGGAAGUUCUGUGAGCUUUGACAUCUCUGUGAUUUCUAAUAACUUUCAAGAAAGCUGUUGAAAAAAAUCUGGGUUGCUCUGGGGAUGGGCAGGAAUCCACCGGGAAGGGUCAGAGGGAGAAUUUUCUGGAGGAGCGGAAAUAGCCUAUGUAUCUUGAAAGAGAUGUGAGGCUGUAUUUGUCAAAAUUCAUUGAAACAUACACUUAAAACCUAUCCGUACUUUUUGCUGUGUGUAAAUUAUGCCUCAAAAAUUUAAGUACAAAAACAAUUUAAGUGCAGAAUUUAUUUCCCCCAAAGAUUUUUACUUGCUAAUGGCAGGGCUUUCCCAAACCGGUUUAAAAAUUAGAAUCUCCACACCUGGGGACUGGGCUGGGGAUUUCUGAAGGUCCCGCAGGAGUCUGCACCCUGCUGGAGGAAGUCAUGGCCUGCGGCUUCGGGGGUCCUGGACGCUGGCCCGGCCCCGCCGUGGUCUGCCAGGCGUCGGUCUCUGUGUGAUCCUGGACAGUCCUCGCCGGGCUGUGAGAUCGGGGUUCCUUGGUGAUCAGGUCAGCGCCCCGCUCCCGCUCGGCGUUCCACAGCGUGGCGCUCCAGGGCAGGGUGGGAGGCACCGAUGAGGCCUCCGAACCCCGGUGGGCGGGCACCAGCCGCAAGGCUCGGCCUGCCGGCCCAGCGUCCACCCGGUAGACCGAGCAGCCGGCCUCCAGCCGCCUGGACGAGCAAUGGCCAAAGGGAAACCUGUCCACGCUUCCUCCUGGCCGGCCUCGUGGCGCAACGGUAGCGCGUCUGACUCCAGAUCAGAAGGUUGCGUGUUCAAAUCACGUCGGGGUCAGGUUCUUUUUCUGGGUCCAAUUUCGUUCCCCUUAUUCCUAAAUCUAGCACGCGGGCCCGAAAAAAAGAAAAGAA